AGUGAAAUUUCUGGAUCCUAUGAUAAUUCUACAUUUAAUUUAUUGAGAAAUUAUCAAAUUAUUUUCCACAUUGGCUGUAUCAUUUGACAUUGUCAUCAGUAAU
rnacentral:pre_miRNA from 1 species